UACGUAGGGAGCGAGCGUUGUCCGGAUUCAUUGGGCGUAAAGAGCUCGUAGGCGGCUUGGUAAGUCGGAUGUGAAACCUCCAGGCUCAACCUGGAGUCGCCAUCCGAUACUGCUAUGGCUAGAGUCCGGUAGGGGCCCACGGAAUUCCUGGUGUAGCGGUGAAAUGCGCAGAUAUCGGGAGGAACACCGGUGGCGAAGGCGGUUCUCUGGGCCUGUACUGACGCUGAGGAGCGAAAGCGUGGGGAGCGAACAGG
rnacentral:rRNA from 1 species